rnacentral:rRNA from 1 species
AACGAACGCUGGCGGCAUGCCUAACACAUGCAAGUCGAACGAGACCUUCGGGUCUAGUGGCGCACGGGUGCGUAACGCGUGGGAACCUGCCCUUAGGUUCGGAAUAACUCCCCGAAAGGGGUGCUAAUACCGGAUAAUGUCUUCGGACCAAAGAUUUAUCGCCUUUGGAUGGGCCCGCGUUGGAUUAGCUAGUUGGUAGGGUAAAAGCCUACCAAGGCGACGAUCCAUAGCCGGUCCGAGAGGAUGAUCAGCCACACUGGGACUGAGAAAAGGCCCAGAGUCUGAGGGGAGGCAGAAGUAGGGAAGAUUCCGGAAUGGGCGAAGGCCGGAUGGAGCAAAGCCGCGUUAGUGAUGAAGGUCUUCGGAUCGUAAAACGUUGUUAUUAGGGAAGAAAAUAUGUGUAAGUAACUGUGCCCAUCUUGACGGUACCUAAUCAGAAAGCCAGGGAGAAGUUUGUG